UGUAAUGUGAAUUGCAGAUCUACAGUGAAUCAUCGAAUCUUUGAACGCACCUUGCGCUCCUCGGUGUUCCGAGGAGCAUGCCUGUUUGAGUGUCAGUA
rnacentral:rRNA from 1 species